CGCUGGCGGCGCGUUUUAAGCAUGCAAGUCGAGCGGUAGUAGCAAUACGAGAGCGGCGGACGGGUGAGUAACACGUGGGUAAUCUGCCUUUCAGUCGGGGAUAGCCUGUGGAAACACAGGAUAAUACCGGAUGCGAUGCCAUGUACACAUGUACGAGGCAGGAAAGGGGCCAAGGCCCCGCUGGAAGAUGAGCCCGCGGCCCAUUAGCUAGAUGGUGAGGUAAAGGCCCACCAUGGCGAUGAUGGGUAGCCGGCCUGAGAGGGUGAACGGUCACAUUGGAACUGAGACACGGUCCAGACUCCUACGGGAGGCAGCAGCUAAGAAUCUUCCACAAUGGACGAAAGUCUGAUGGAGCGACGCCGCGUGGACGAAUGAAGGCCGUGAGGUUGUAAAGUCCUUUUCUGAAGGGAGAAUAACGGGGACAGGGAAUGGUCCUCAGAUGACGUGAAUUCAGGAAUAAGCCCCGGCUAACUACGUGCCAGCAGCCGC
rnacentral:rRNA from 1 species